CUAGCAGCUGCCUUGUGACCAGGCAGACCCUCACCAUAAUAUGCCACUCUGUUCAUCGUAGGAGUACUCUUCUGGAUUGUUGAGAAUGGGGGACUUCCAGCAAUUUGAUCAAGACUUCUACCAGUCUGAGUAUAAUAUUGAUAAUCAGGGGCAAGACGCAUGUGGCUAUGAAGCAGCAUAUACCAGCCCAGAUUACCACAAUAUAGAUGAUGUGGCUGCUUACUAUGACCCACCAAAGGACCAACCGUACACUGGAAUGGUGUUCCAGCCUGCGGCUCCUCCAGGGGCUGCUGAGAACACUGACUCCUUUGAGGAAGAACCCCCAUUGUUAGAAGAGCUGGGCAUUAACUUUGAUCACAUCUGGCAGAAGACUCUGACUGUGCUGAACCCACUGAAACCAGCAGACGGGAGUAUCAUGAAUGAGACAGACUUAACUGGUCCUGUACUUUUCUGCAUCGCUAUGGGCAUCACUCUUUUAAUGGCAGGGAAGGCCCAUUUUGGCUAUGUGUAUGGUAUCAGUGCACUGGGCUGUGUUGGCAUGUGUACAUUGCUGAAUCUGAUGAGCGCAUACACCAUAUCCUAUGGAUGUGUGGCCAGCGUAUUAGGAUACUCCCUGCUUCCAAUGGUGGCUCUCUCUGCCUUUGCUGUUGUUUACUCCCUACAAGGACUGUUGGGCACUUUGCUGGCCUUGUUUGUGAUUGGCUGGUGCAGUCUAUCAGCCUCUAAAAUCUUCAGCUCGACUCUGGAUAUGGGUGGACAGCAGCUGCUUGUGGCUUACCCCUGCGCUCUACUGUAUGGAGUCUUUGCCCUGCUCACUGUCUUCUGAUGGUCCACAUGGGGAAAGCUCAGCAUGCUGUCAGCAAUGUAUCCUUGGACGCAUGGCCUUUAACCUUACUUCAGGGUCAGAUACUUGCCUUGUACCUAGAAUGUGUCAGGUACGUCUUAAACAUGAACUGUUGAUAUAUGAGAUGACCUUCUCUCUUCUCCUCUCUCUCGCUAUCUCUCUCUCUCCCUCUCUCUCUUUCAGAACAAAUACUGAAUUAUGCAGGAGAAAAUGAUCUCUUUGUCCUUCUGAUCUUAUUCAUAAUUGAAGUUAUACAUGCAGAGGUGGAGUGCACCAAAAUAUCCUCAUAAGGUACACCAUGAGGAGUAAAACUGGACGUUGAUGUUUGUGAGCAGUGAUGAGAUUCCCAAAACCUUGUGUUGACAGCAACUGACCCAAAUAGUCCUUGGCCUCUGUUUAUCAUAGGUCCCUGAGGCCCUUCACCCAAUAGUCCAGGUGUGAUCCUCUACUCUGCACUGCUUUAAGCUACAGCAGUGUUCUUGGCAAGCAGAGCCUCAUGGUCUCUUUGGCUCGUUUCCCUGCAGAGAGCCCUUAGGAGAAGAAACAGAGAACAUUCUUGAUUUGUUCGAUGUAAAUGACCUUUGUAAGCAAUACACAAUGUGCUCCUUUAUGCAGUUCAA